CUAAGGUAAUCACUUUCCUGAGUUGUGUGAGACGCGCUCUUCUUUCCUCUCUACCUAGCUUGUAGCUGCUAAUCUCAUCUCGCCUCCCUCUCUCUAGACGAGUUCAUGCCUCUCUUGGCCACGGCCAUACUGUCCCUGGAGUCGUGUCCUUUGACCUCAAUCAAAGGUGAAUCUGGGCUCUCUCCUCUCUACAAUACUGCGAUUGUGCCUUGCGCUACCUCCUGCUCCGGUGUUCGCUGUCACAGGCAAAGAUGAAAUUGGACGUGGAUGUCUUAAGAUAUCUCUCCAAAGAUGAUUUUAGGGUUCUCACUGCUGUUGAGAUGGGCAUGAGAAAUCAUGAAAUUGUACCUACAGAGCUCAUUGACCGUAUCGCUUCUCUCAAGCAUGGAGGCACAUACAAGGUUUUAAAAAACUUGCUCAAGCAUAAGCUGCUGCACCAUGACUCCUCCAAAUAUGAUGGGUUUCGUCUCACCUACCUUGGCUAUGAUUUCCUUGCAAUUAAAACGAUGGUCAAUCGUGGAGUAUUUGCUGCUGUUGGUCGUCAAAUUGGAGUUGGAAAGGAGUCUGAUAUAUUUGAGGUUGCUACAGAGGAUGGCACAGUAUUGGCAAUGAAGUUGCACAGACUUGGCAGAAUUUCUUUCAGGGCUGUCAAGUCUAAGCGUGAUUACUUGCGGCACCGCAGUAGUUAUAAUUGGCUCUACUUAUCCCGACUUGCUGCACUAAAAGAAUUUGCGUUUAUGAAGGCUUUGGAAGAACAUGGUUUUCCUGUUCCAAAAGCUGUGGACUGUAAUAGGCAUUGUGUGGUUAUGUCACUUGUUCAGGGUUACCCACUCGUGCAGGUGAAGCAAUUGCAGAAUCCAGAAACAGUUUUUGAAACAAUAAUAGGCCUUGUUGUUCGUCUCGCAGAACAUAUCUUGCAGAACAUGGCCUCAUUCACUGCGACUUCAAUGAAUUUAACAUUAUGAUUGAUGAUGAUGAGAAGGUCACCAUGAUUGAUUUUCCUCAGAUGGUGUCUGUGUCACAUCGAAAUGCUCAAAUGUAUUUUGAGCGUGAUGUUGAAUGCAUCUUUAAGUUUUUUAGUAAGAGAUAUAACCUGUCCUUUAAAGAACACACAGAUGAAAAUGAUGGUUCAGAUGUAGAUUCAGAUGAAAAUGGAAGACCUACCUUUUCUUCUAUAUCAAAAUUAGCUGGUUUUCUUGACAAGGAACUUGCUGCCAGUGGAUUUUCAAGGAAAGAUCAGGAUGACAUAGAGAAAUUCAUUGAAGGUGGGAUUGAGAAGGAUAGAAGCUCUGACACUGAAGGAACUGAAGAUGAAGAACAUGAAUCUGACGAGUCGAGUGAAACAAUCAAGAGGACUUUAGAUUCUUUGCACUUGCUAGAGAAGGAGGAAAAUACUUCGAACUUUAUUGAAGAGGGCAAAGUAUAUGAGAAUCAACAGAGCUGUGAAACAGGUCAAAACAAUGGGUCUGAAUCAGAAGAAGCGAGUGACAAGGAAGAAGAAAGUCAGACUCUAAAUACAGGUGAUGUUGAAUUGGUCAAGCGUCUAAACAAGCAGAGAAGACGUGCCAUAUUAUCAGCUCAAGGGGGACGGAGGAGUCUUGCCUCUAGAAAUUCCUAUAAGGACAAGGGUGGUAAAUCCUCUCAGAAUUCGAAACUUAAGAAACAGUUGAGCAGCUGGUGAACAGUACAAAAAAUAUGCAUCGUAGUCUUAGAUAGAGACUUGAAUUCAGCUGUUUGCGGUAAUGUACUACUCAGAUGAGAUCCCAACUUCAGUGAAAUGGGCGUGAAGGGAAGCUGAUAACAUGAUUAGGAUUUUUAAUCCAGUUUUUGUCCCUGGAAGAUGAGUUAUAUAUAGGUCUGUUUAUAGCAAUAGAUUAUGAGAAGUUUGUGAUACAGAAAUAGCAAAUAGUGCUUUGCAGAAUGUUCAUUGUAAGAGUUUUGCUUUUUGUUCUUGAAGAAGAAAUGCAGGUGUGAAAUCAUCUUCUAAGAUUGGGGUCAUGUUCUCGACUCAAGUUGUUUUCCUAAAUGUUAUUGCCUUGCUCAACUCUUUUAGCCUCUAUGUUGUUCUUUCGCUUAGCACAUCAUGACU
rnacentral:misc_RNA from 1 species